AGUGAACGCUGGCGGUAGGCCUAACACAUGCAAGUCGAACGGCAGCACAGUAAGAGCUUGCUCUUACGGGUGUCGAGCGGCGGACGGGUGAGGAAUACAUCGGAAUCUACUUUUUCGUGGGGGAUAACGUAGGGAAACUUACGCUAAUACCGCAUACGACCUACGGGUGAAAGCAGGGGAUCUUCGGACCUUGCGCGAUUGAAUGAGCCGAGGUCGGAUUCGCUAGUUGGCGGGGUAAAGGCCCACCAAGGCGACGAUCCGUAACUCGUCUGAGAGGAUGGUCAGACACACUGGAAGUGAGACAGGGUCCAGACUCCUAGGGGAGGCAGCAGUGGGGAAUAUUGGGCAAUGGGGGCAAGCCUGAUACAGCCAUACCGCGUGGGUGAAGAAGGCCUUCGGGUUGUAAAGCCCUGUUGUUGGGAAAGAAGAGCAGCAGGUUAACACCCCGCGGUUCUGACGGUACCCAAAGAAUAAGCACCGGCUAACUUCGUG
rnacentral:rRNA from 1 species